rnacentral:rRNA from 1 species
UACGUAGGGGGCAAGCGUUGUCCGGAAUCAUUGGGCGUAAAGAGCGUGUAGGCGGUUUGUCGCGUCUGCUGUGAAAAUCCAGGGCUUAACCCUGGACCUGCAGUGGGUACGGGCAGACUGGAGUGCGGGUAGGGGAGAUCGGAAUUCCUGGUGUAGCGGUGAAAUGCGCAGAUAUCAGGAGGAACACCGGUGGCGAAGGCGGAUCUCUGGGCCGUAACUGACGCUGAGGAGCGAAAGCAUGGGGAGCGAACAGG